rnacentral:rRNA from 1 species
UACGAAGGGUGCAAACGUUGCUCGGAAUUAUUGGGCGUAAAGCGCACGUAGGCGGCAUUGCAAGUCGGAUGUGAAAUCCCUCGGCUUAACCAAGGAAGUGCAUCCGAAACUGCAGUGCUUGAGUACUUAAGAGGAUCGCGGAAUUCCCGGUGUAGAGGUGAAAUUCGUAGAUAUCGGAGGAACACCAGUGGCGAAGGCGGCGAUCUGGAAGAGUACUGACGCUGAGGUGC